rnacentral:rRNA from 1 species
CAGUCGAACGGGGUUUAUAUAACAGAACUCUCCGGAGGGAAGAUAUAUAAACCUAGUGGCGGACGGGUGAGUAACGCGUGGGCAACCUGCCCUGUACCGGGGGACAACAGCCAGAAAUGGCUGCUAAUACCGCAUAAGCCUGCUGUGCCGCAUGGCACAGCAGGGAAAACCACGGUGGUACAGGAUGGGCCCGCGUCUGAUUAGUUAGUUGGCAGGGUAACGGCCUACCAAGACAACGAUCAGUAGCCGGCUUGAGAGAGUGGACGGCCACAUUGGGACUGAGACACGGCCCAGACUCCUGCGGGAGGCAGCAGUGGGGAAUAUUGCACAAUGGGGGGAACCCUGAUGCAGCAAUGCCGCGUGGGUGAAGAAGCACUCCGGUGCGUAAAGCCCUGUCAGCAGGGAAGAAAAUGACAGUACCUGGACAAGAAGCCCCGGCUAACUACGUGCCAGCAGCCGCGGUAAUACGUAGGGGGCAAGCGUUAUCCGGAUUUACUGGGUGUAAAGGGAGCGCAGGCGGCGUGGCAAGUCAGAUGUGAAAACCCGGGGCCCAACCCCGGGAGUGCAUUUGAAACUGCCAUGCUGGAGUGCCGGAGAGGUAAGCGGAAUUCCUAGUGUAGCGGUGAAAUGCGUAGAUAUUAGGAGGAACACCAGUGGCGGAGGCGGCUUACUGGACGGUAACUGACGCUGAGGCUCGAAAGCGUGGGGAGCAAACAGGAUUAGAUACCCUGGUAGUCCACGCUGUAAACGAUGAAUACUAGGUACAGGGGCACAAAAGUGCUUCUGUGCCGCAGCUAACGCAAUAAGUAUUCCACCUGGGGAGUACGUUCGCA